UACGAAGGGGCUAGCGUUGCUCGGAAUCACUGGGCGUAAAGGGCGCGUAGGCGGCCAUUCAAGUCAGAGGUGAAAGCCCAAGGCUCAACCUUGGAACUGCCUUUGAUACUGUUUGGCUUGAGACCGGUAGAGGUAAGUGGAACUGCGAGUGUAGAGGUGAAAUUCGUAGAUAUUCGCAAGAACACCAGUGGCGAAGGCGGCUUACUGGACCGGUUCUGACGCUGAGGCGCGAAAGCGUGGGGA
rnacentral:rRNA from 1 species